rnacentral:rRNA from 1 species
UACGUAGGAUGCAAGCGUUGUCCGGAAUUACUGGGCGUAAAGCGUGCGCAGGCGGCUUCUCAAGUCAGGGGUGAAAGCCCAGAGCUCAACUCUGGAAUUGCCUUUGAGACUGAGAGGCUUGAGUACGGGAGAGGUGAGUGGAAUUCCCAGUGUAGAGGUGAAAUUCGUAGAUAUUGGGAAGAACACCAGUGGCGAAGGCGGCUCACUGGCCCGUAACUGACGCUGAGGUGCGAAAGCGUGGGGAGCAAACAGG